rnacentral:rRNA from 1 species
GAUGAACGCUGGCGGCGUGCCUAAUACAUGCAAGUCGAGCGAACAGAUGAGGAGCUUGCUCCUCUGACGUUAGCGGCGGACGGGUGAGUAACACGUGGAUAACCUACCUAUAAGACUGGGAUAACUUCGGGAAACCGGAGCUAAUACCGGAUAAUAUAUUGAACCGCAUGGUUCAAUAGUGAAAGACGGUUUUGCUGUCACUUAUAGAUGGAUCCGCGCCGCAUUAGCUAGUUGGUAAGGUAACGGCUUACCAAGGCAACGAUGCGUAGCCGACCUGAGAGGGUGAUCGGCCACACUGGAACUGAGAAACGGUCCAGACUCCGACGGGAGGAAGCAGUAGGGAAUCUUCCGCAAUGGGCGAAAGCCUGACGGAGCAACGCCGCGUGAGUGAUGAAGGUCUUCGGAUCGUAAAACUCUGUUAUUAGGGAAGAACAAAUGUGUAAGUAACUAUGCACGUCUUGACGGUACCUAAUCAGAAAGCCACGGCUAACUACGUG